rnacentral:rRNA from 1 species
UACGGAAGGCAGCAGUGGGGAAUAUUGCACAAUGGGCGCAAGCCUGAUGCAGCCAUGCCGCGUGUAUGAAGAAGGCCUUCGGGUUGUAAAGUACUUUCAGUCGUGAGGAAGGUGUUAAGGUUAAUAACCUUAGCAAUUGACGUUAGCGACAGAAGAAGCACCGGCUAACUCCGUGCCAGCAGCCGCGGUAAUACGGAGGGUGCGAGCGUUAAUCGGAAUUACUGGGCGUAAAGGGCACGCAGGCGGUUAAUUAAGUUGGAUGUGAAAUCCCCGGGCUUAACCUGGGAAUGGCAUUCAAGACUGGUUAGCUAGAGUCUUGUAGAGGGGGUAGAAUUCCGAUGUGUAGCGGUGAAAUGCGUAGAGAUGUGGAGGAAUACCGGUGGCGAAGGCGGCCCCUGGACAAAGGCUGACGCUCAUGUGCGAAAGCGUGGGGAGCAAACGAGGGAUUUAGAUACC